rnacentral:misc_RNA from 1 species
GCCAUGAUCUAAUCUGACGCUGCAGCUCGCCAGCUGGAGUAUGUACAAAUAAAGCAGCCAAAGCCUUAUUUCCAACAGCAAAGCUUUUCGCAUCCUCAUUAAUCUCUCUCAGCUUUCCAGCUGUCACUUGCAGCCUCGGAGAAUCCUGAUCAAGACCCCGAAUUUUGGAUACAACUGAUGAAAAUCUGGACUUCUUUUCUGGCCGAAGAUUCACUUUAAAGCCUUGGAUCUG